rnacentral:rRNA from 1 species
ACUCUAAAGAGACUGCCGGUGUCAAACCGGAGGAAGGUGGGGAUGACGUCAAGUCCUCAUGGCCUUUAUGACUAGGGCUACACACGUACUACAAAUGGCCGGUACAAAGGGCAGCGACACAGCGAUGUGAAGCGAAUCCCGAAAAAGCCGGUCUCAGUCCGGAUUGGAGUCUGCAACUCGACUCCAUGAAGUUGGAAUCGCUAGUAAUCGCGGAUCAGCACGCCGCGGUGAAUACGUUCCCGGGCCUU